rnacentral:rRNA from 1 species
UUGGACGGCAAGUCUGGUGCCAGCAGCCGCGGUAAUUCCAGCUCCAAUAGCGUAUAUUAAAGUUGUUGCAGUUAAAAAGCUCGUAGUUGAAUUUCGGGAUUAGUACGCUGGUCGUGCCUUCGGUACGUACUGGUGUUACUGAUUUCUACCUUCUGACGAACCAUCAUAUCAUUAAUUUGGUGUGGUGGGGAAUCAGGACUGUUACUUUGAAAAAAUUAGAGUGUUUAAAGCAGGCUCGCGCUUGAAUACAUUAGCAUGGAAUAAUGAAAUAGGACGUUGAUCCUAUUUUGUUGGUUUCUAGGAUUGACGUAAUGAUUAAUAGGGAUAGUUGGGGGCAUUAGUAUUCAAUUGUCAGAGGUGAAAUUCUUGGAUUUAUUGAAGACUAACUACUGCGAAAGCAUUUGCCAAGGAUGUUUUCAUUAAUCAAGAACGAAAGUUAGGGGAUCGAAGACGAUCAGAUACCGUCGUAGUCUUAACCAUAAACUAUGCCGACUAGGGAUCGGAUGAUGUUAUUUUUAAUGACUCAUUCGGCGCCUUACGGGAAAC